rnacentral:rRNA from 1 species
CCUACGGGGGGCUGCAGUGGGGAAUAUUGGACAAUGGGGGGAACCCUGAUCCAGCCAUGCCGCGUGUGUGAAGAAGGCCCUCGGGUUGUAAAGCACUUUCAGGGAGGAAGAACGCCUGGUGGUUAAUACCCAUCAGGAAAGACAUCACUCACAGAAGAAGCACCGGCUAACUCCGUGCCAGCAGCCGCGGUAAUACGGAGGGUGCGAGCGUUAAUCGGAAUUACUGGGCGUAAAGCGCGCGUAGGUGGCUUGAUAAGCCGGUUGUGAAAGCCCCGGGCUCAACCUGGGAACGGCAUCCGGAACUGUCAAGCUAGAGUGCAGGAGAGGAAGGUAGAAUUCCCGGUGUAGCGGUGAAAUGCGUAGAGAUCGGGAGGAAUACCAGUGGCGAAGGCGGCCUUCUGGACUGACACUGACACUGAGGUGCGAAAGCGUGGGUAGCAAACAGGAUUAGAUACCCUGGUAGUC